GACGAACGCUGGCGGCGUGCUUAACACAUGCAAGUCGAACGCUGAAGCUCAGCUUUUGUGGGGUGGAUGAGUGGCGAACGGGUGAGUAACACGUGAGUAACCUGCCUCCUUCUUUGGGAUAACGCCCGGAAACGGGUGCUAAUACUGGAUAUUCACUGGUCUUCGCAUGGGGGUUGGUGGAAAGGGUUUUUCUGGUGGGGGAUGGGCUCGCGGCCUAUCAGCUUGUUGGUGGGGUGAUGGCCUACCAAGGCUUUGACGGGUAGCCGGCCUGAGGGGGUGACCGGUCACAUUGGGACUGAGAUACGGCCCAGACUCCUACGGGAGGCAGAAGUGGGGAAUAUUGCACAAUGGGCGCAAGCCUGAUGCAGCGACGCCGCGUGAGGGAUGGAGGCCUUCGGGUUGUGAACCUCUUUCGCUCAUGGUCAAGCCGCAACAAUGGUUGUGGUGAGGGUAGUGGGUAAAGAAGCGCCGGCUAACUACGUG
rnacentral:rRNA from 1 species